UACGUAGGUGCCGAGCGUUAUACGGAAUUACUGGGCGUAAAGCGUACGCAGGCGGCUUCUUAAGUCUGACGUGAAAGCUCCCGGCUUAACUGGGAGAGGUCGUUGGAGACUGGGGGGCUUGAGGCGAUGAGAGGGGUGUAGAAUUCCCGGUGUAGUGGUGGAAUGCGUAGAUAUCGGGAGGAAUACCAGUGGCGAAAGCGACACCCUGGCAUAGUCCUGACGCUCAUGUACGAAAGCGUGUGGAGCAAACGGG
rnacentral:rRNA from 1 species